ensembl:lncRNA
GGCGGGCCCGGAUCACCGCUUUGCAGGCGGGGCGUCGUGGGGAGGGACCCCGCAGCCCCCAACCCCCAUCUGCGUGGCAGCGCUCGGGGAGCACCGCUCAUCACCCCCAGCCCCGCAGCCGUUCUAUUUCUGUCCCGUGACUCAGGGAUUUCGGCAGCCGUGUCCCAUGACCGCGCCGUGACAUCUUUCCGGUCACUCCGAUGGGAGAUCUGACGGAGCCCCACGCACGGCCACGGGGUCCCCGUGAGUCACCCCCAGCGCGGUGUCACCGUGUGCCCACCGCAGCCUCUCGUCCCCGGAAACGGGGCCAUCCCACGGGGUGAAGUGUGGGGGGGGGCAGCGCGGACCUAUGGGGGGGUGCAGCUCCGCGCUCACCCCAACAUCCGCCCUCCGCCUCCCCCACAGCCGCAGCGCUGAUGGUUAUCGCCUCGCUCGGCAGCGCAGAUGUGGCCCCAUUGGCGGCGCAGACGCGGCCCUAUUGCGGAGCUGUCACCGCUGUCCCCCCCACACUCCCCCCCCUCCGGCUGCCCCCAGCUCUGCCCUGACCCCCAUCGUGCGCUCAGCUCUGAAUCCCCAUCGCUCCAUCCCCUUUGGGUCAGCUCUGCUCCGAGCAGAACCGUCGCUGCCAUCGGCCGCUCCGUCGAUGAGGCGGCUGUCAGCAACACGUGGCCCGAUGUCACCGUUGUCCCCGUUGUCACAGCACCCAGCGGCGUUUGCGGCAUCUCCCGCUUUCCGCUUCCCCAUCCUGGUGUGACCGACCCUUCCCCGAGCCAACGCUCGGCCUCACGGCAACUAAUUGCUUCCAGUCGUUUGCAAAACAACAGCAGGCGACGAGCAGGAAAACCCCGGGAGAGGAGAGCGGCUUUGGUGCGCUCCCAGCGCCGUCACACAGCGACGGUUUCUGCGCCCCAGGGCUGGGAGACCCACAGCUCCAUCCCCACGCAGAGCUCGGCCGGGACAUUCCUGUGCACACCGUCGCAUUUCUGGGCGUGCAAAACCGCAGCGGCUCACGCACACGCGGGUGCGAGCACACGCACGUCUGUCCCUGCACGCCCAUGGGAACGAAUGCAUCCGUGCGCCCGCAGCUCCGUCCCUGCAUGCCUCGCACACGCCCCGUGCCACACACCCACACCCUGCAGCCCCCCCCUGCAAAAGCGUCCCCUGCGGGGUGGCCCUGCUGCAGAACGCGGGCUGCUGAUGGAGCAACCUUGCACGGCCCCGCUGCUGCUCCCGGGGGGCGGUUUGCAAAACCAUGCAGGAUUUCCUGCAGGAAAACUUCGUUGCAGCACGGCGCCAAGGCGCGCGGUGCUCAGUGCGUGUGCACACCGCAGGCAGGGCCGUGCUUGUGCGACGGUGCACGGUGUGUGCAAGUGGGCGUGCAUGGAGGGGGGGGGUGUGUUUAGAGGUGCACGUGUGUGUAUUUCGGCCUGCAGGUGUGUACGUCUGCGUGCAGGCGUGUUGUGUGCUUCUGCACACGCGGAUGUUGAGCUGUGUGGGUGUGCCCGAGGGGUGUGCAAGUACGUCUGUGUGUGUGCAGAUACGUGCACGCUGCAAGGGAUGUGUGUGCACACGAGCGAGCUGCAGGGCUGUGCAUGCGUGUCACAGAGCUGUGUGUGCAGGCACACGUGUGUGCAUAGGCUCACGUCCCAAGGGGCGUGCGAGCAGCCGUGUGCGUCCAUGUGUGCCCGUUCCAAGGCUGUGUGUGCACAUACACGUGUGCAAGCUCCAGGGCUGCGCGUGCAGCUGUGUGUGCGUAUGUGGAUGUCCCAAGGGGUGUGAGUGUGCACAGAGGUGUGCGAGCUCCGCGGCUGUGUGUGUGUGUGCAUGUCCCAGGGCUGUGCAUGCGUGUGUGUGUGUGUGUAUAUGUGCACAUUCCAGGCAGUGUGCAGGCAGCUGCGUGUGGCCAUGUGUGCGUGUUCCAAGGGCCGCGCGUGCACAGACACGCGUGCAAGGCCCACUGUGUGUGUGUGUGUGUGGUGGGGGGGUGAGGGGGGAGGCGCGCACACACGCACAUGCGCGUGCACAAGCGCGUGCCCGGCCCGCGCGUGCAUCUCCCGGCCGAAG